GUUCGAUAACCGGCUCUGCGCAUGCUCAUUCAUUGUCUUUAGAGGUUGCUGUUUGGACUGAAUGGCAGCUAAGUUACUGGCAGCAUGAGGAGAUAGCGCAGAGUUUACUAUUGACUCUCACUGAGAAUACCAUGACCCAUUUCUUCAGUCGUAAGUAGACAGUUACCGUUAGCUCAGCUAAAGCUAGCUCAUCUCUUGUUUAUCCGCCGGCUUUUACACACGAGUGCCCGGAGAAAUGCAGAGAAUAAGGUCUUUGAAAACCGGUUGGCAGCUGCUGAAAUCAAGCUGUGAGGGAGCAGCAAAACAAGUAAACAUCUCGCCUUCAACCUCACGAAAUUAUAGCCAUGACUCCAGCUCUUUCGGGCUCCUCUUUGACAUUGAUGGGGUGCUGGUGCGGGGCAGGACGCCGAUCCCUGCUGCCAAGCAGUGCUUCAGGAACCUGGUGGACAGCAAUGGGAAAUACAAGGUGCCUGUGGUGUUUGUCACCAAUGCUGGGAACUGCAUGAGGCAGGCCAAAGCUGAGCAUCUGUCACAUCUGCUCGAGGUGGAGGUUUCUCCAGACCAGGUGAUGCUGUCCCACAGUCCUUUGCGAAUGUUUACCCAGUUCCACAAAAUGCGUGUGCUGGUGUCGGGACAGGGUCCUGUGGAGGAGGUCGCUCACAACCUGGGCUUUCAGGAUGUUGUUACUGUAGACAUGCUCAGGGAAGCAUAUCCUCUUCUGGAUGUCGUAGAUCACAACAGAAGGCCCAAAGACAGUAUUCCCCCCACCAAAGGCUUAUGGCCAAUAGACGCUGUCAUCUUAUUUGGUGAACCAAUCAGAUGGGAGACCAACCUCCAGCUUAUCCUUGAUGUGCUCCUGACAAAUGGGAACCCAGACAAUGCCUGGAGUUCGAUGCGGUACCCUCACAUCCCAGUCCUGGCCUGUAACAUGGACCUGCUGUGGAUGGCCGAGGCGAAGAAUCCCAGGUUUGGUCACGGUAUGUUUCUGGUGAGCUUAGAGAGCCUGUACAAGAAGGUCACUGGCUAUGAGCUGAAAUACGAGGCUCUGAUUGGUAAACCCAGUGUGGUGACUUAUAACUACGCUGAGCUGCUGAUUAGACAGCAGGCUGAGAGACUUGGCUGGACCACACCUGUGAAGAGGCUGUAUGCUAUAGGUGAUAACCCCAUGGCCGACAUAUACGGCGCCAACCUCUACAACCACUACCUUCAGGCUUCUCAGCGCACCAAGGCCCAGAUGCAGGCCAAGAGUCGCGGAGGAGGUGUAGAUCCCUUGGCAGAAGCUGCUGACGCACCAAAAAUGACAUCAGCCGAACUAGGCGGAGCGUCAGCUGAGUACGGGGCAGAGGAGGACCUCCCCGAGGGCUGCAGCUCCAUCCUGGUGUGCACAGGAGUGUACAGCAGAGACCAGCAGGAGCUGCCCUCGGACCCGGCGCACACCGUCAGGGAGCAGCACAUCUUCCACGGUCACAGGGACUUCCGCUUUGACCCCAGCCUCACGCAGCCGUCCUUCGUGGUGGAGGAUGUGAAGGAGGCGGUGGAGCUGGUGUUUCAGCAGGAAGGCUGGCCUCUAGAGUAGGACGGUAAGUGGCUCUCAAACUCUGGCUUCAUCUCCCAGCCGUCCAUUAAACAGCUCUAACGUCCCUUAACUGGUAGUAGCAGAAGCUUUAUGAGUUUAUUUUUUAAUCUAUGCCCCUGAUGUAGCUGUUUCAGGGGCUUGUUCUUAGAGAUUUUUAAUAAAGUGCCAUAGAAUCAGCUGCAAAAAAAAAAAUGCAGUUUUAACACUAAUUAUAAGGAGCCAAGUUUAUUAAGUGGGACGUGUGUCCUUUCUUACCUUUGUACGACACAAUCUGUAUCUGCUUUCUCUUUUUUAACGCACAUGGAUUGUUAAGAAGUCUAGGUGUUGAGUUACAUGCAUUUUUACUACACUCAGACUUUUAUUGAGUAUCUGUAAGUUCAUGGAUGAGAGACAUUGUUCAAACAUAGUUAUUUUAACACCUUAAACUGAAUAAUGCAGAAAGAGCUCUAUAAAGACCAAUGUGCUGGCUCAUCUGUGACAUGACAUAUUGUCCAGAUAAAGAUGGAUUUUAUUCUUUGAACAACCGGCUACAUAACUGGGUCAUCUUGCCUUUCCAAAAUAUGCACCCCCCCCCACCAGGUCCUAACUAGACCGUGUCUGCUGUUUGUUUUUACUGCUGUCAUAUUUCAGAUUGUUUUUGUUUUGUUUUUUAAAUAGGUGAAUGCAUAACCAAUAAUGUUGAUGAGAUUAUGUUGCCAGGUUUUAUUAGUACCUCAUCAGUUUUGAUUUUAGCCUCAAUUAUGAGUACGGUCAUUUUAUUUAAGUAUUAUUUUGUGGAAAAAGUACCACUGUCACGUCAUAAAUUUAAAAAAGUGCUGUUCUUUUAUCAAAUGGUUAAAGUAAUAAAAAAAUGUAUGGAUGGUUAAACAUCUGUAAUAGAAGACUUUUGUGGGAGAAAACACAUAGCUGCAGUUGCAGCACCACUGAACAUGUCCCAAGGUGCUGGUUUGUUAUAUUUGUAACUGAAAGGUGUAAUAAAGUAUGAUUUGCAAGUGA